ACCGGCGCACGGGUGCGUAACGCGUAUGCAAUCUACCUUUUACAGAGGGAUAGCCCAGAGAAAUUUGGAUUAAUACCUCAUAGUAUUAUAGAAUGGCAUCAUUUUAUAAUUAAAGUCACAACGGUAAAAGAUGAGCAUGCGUCCCAUUAGCUAGUUGGUAAGGUAACGGCUUACCAAGGCUACGAUGGGUAGGGGUCCUGAGAGGGAGAUCCCCCACACUGGCACUGAGACACGGACCAGACUCCUACGGGAGGCAGCAGUGAGGAAUAUUGGACAAUGGGCGCAAGCCUGAUCCAGCCAUGCCGCGUGCAGGAUGACGGUCCUAUGGAUUGUAAACUGCUUUUAUACGAGAAGAAACACUGCUUCGUGAAGCAGCUUGACGGUAUCGUAAGAAUAAGGAUCGGCUAACUCCGUGCCAGCAGCCGCGGUAAUACGGAGGAUCCAAGCGUUAUCCGGAAUCAUUGGGUUUAAAGGGUCCGUAGGCGGUUUAAUAAGUCAGUGGUGAAAGCCCAUCGCUCAACGGUGGAACGGCCAUUGAUACUGUUAAACUUGAAUUAUUAGGAAGUAACUAGAAUAUGUAGUGUAGCGGUGAAAUGCUUAGAGAUUACAUGGAAUACCAAUUGCGAAGGCAGGUUACUACUAAUGGAUUGACGCUGAUGGACGAAAGCGUGNGUAGCGAACAGGAUUAGAUACCCUGGUAGUCCACGCCGUAAACGAUGGAUACUAGCUGUUGGAAGCAAUUUCAGUGGCUAAGCGAAAGUGAUAAGUAUCCCACCUGGGGAGUACGUUCGCAAGAAUGAAACU
rnacentral:rRNA from 1 species